ACACAAGCACCACAGGGGAGGAUCUGCAGCAAAGGGCCCACCGGAAAUCAAACCUUGGCCGCCAUGAUGACGACAUGUGGCACUUGAGUGUGAAUCUAGCCUUUUCAUUUUGAUUUACAACAUUAGCAUUGAAAAGAGCAAAAGUUGAUGCUUGAGAUGAUUUUGUUUUUACUGAAGAGGAUGUACGUCUUCCCUUUGUCCUUUAUCCCCUUACUCUUUCUUUUUAGGUGUGAUUACGACUACCAGCAUGAACCUCAACACCUUCUUUGCUGUUCCACUAGUGUGACCCAUGAUUGUACAAGUUGUCAAGGAUAAACGGGAAGAGAAUCAUGUCAGCCCACAGACAACCGGUUGACCUGUUAGUCUUCAAGCAGUAAUGAUGACUACUCCUGCCUUAAGUUCCAGUUUCCUGAACAUCAUGUCGGCAUGAGAUUCUGUCCCCACCUGUCUUCAGUCUGGACCCAUGAGGUUUUUUUUUUAACAGUGCGUUUACAGUCACAUGGUUUUUUUCGAGGCUUUGUCUGAGUUUCAGUGCUGCAGUUAUUUACCAUUCAGGGUUGUUCAGAAACAUCCAAUUUGUCAUUCUCAUUUGAAGGGCUUGCUGCUGUGAUUCUUUUGUGUACACCAGGAUUUCUUUGUAUUUUGGCAUUUUACACAAAUGUUUUUGAAAGAUGGUCAACAAAGUUGCACAAAUAAAUGUUUAACUGCU